AUUUGACUCCACCGAUGCGGUGCCGGGUUAAGGCUUUGAUAGGGAAAGCGGUGCGAAUCCGCUACGGGCCCGCCACUGUGAUUGGGUGCUCGAGCCGCCAGGAUGCCACUGGGCUAACCGCCCGGGAAGGUUCGGCAAGGGCAAUACCCAUAAGUCAGGAGACCUGCCGCAUCGGCUGUCAUUGA
rnacentral:ncRNA from 1 species